GACGAACGCUGGCGGCGUGCCUAAUACAUGCAAGUCGAACGCUUCUUUCCUCCCGAGUGCUUGCACUCAAUUGGAAAGAGGAGUGGCGGACGGGUGAGUAACACGUGGGUAACCUACCCAUCAGAGGGGGAUAACACUUGGAAACAGGUGCUAAUACCGCAUAACAGUUUAUGCCGCAUGGCAUAAGAGUGAAAGGCGCUUUCGGGUGUCGUUGAUGGAUGGACCCGCGGUGCAUUAGCUAGUUGGUGAGGUAACGGCUCACCAAGGCCACGAUGCAUAGCCGACCUGAGAGGGUGAUCGGCCACACCGGGACUGAGACACGGCCCAGACUCCUACGGGAGGCAGCAGUAGGGAAUCUUCGGCAAUGGACGAAAGUCUGACCGAGCAACGCCGCGUGAGUGAAGAAGGUUUUCGGAUCGUAAAACUCUGUUGUUAGAGAAGAACAAGGACGUUAGUAACUGAACGUCCCCUGACGGUAUCUAACCAGAAAGCCACGGCUAACUACGUG
rnacentral:rRNA from 1 species